rnacentral:rRNA from 1 species
CGCAUCUGUGCAUGCAGCAUAUCAAUAAGCGGAGGAAAAGAAACUAACAAGGAUUCCCCUAGUAACGGCGAGUGAAGCGGGAAGAGCUCAAAUUUGAAAUCUUAAAGGGUCUCCCUUUACGAAUUGUAGUUUAAAGAAGUGUUUUCUGUUGAGGUUUUGGUAAAAGUUCUUUGGAAUAGGACAUCAUAGAGGGUGAGAAUCCCGUAUUUGACCUUUACUUUCAACUUUGUGAUACACUUUCAAAGAGUCGGAUUGUUUGGGAAUGCAGUCCAAAAUGGGUGGUGAAAUUUCAUCUAAAGCUAAAUAUUGGCGAGAGACCGAUAGCGAACAAGUACCGUGAGGGAAAGAUGAAAAGAACUUUGAAAAGAGAGUUAAACAGUACGUGAAAUUGUCAAAAGGGAAGCGUUUGACACCAGUGUUGUUUUUCUGAAAAUCAAUUAAAGAACUGUUUAUGCUAAGCUGUUUAGACUUCAUCAGCUAAUCUGUUUAGUUUUGAGCUUUUCUUUAAUGCACUUUUCAGUUAACAAGUCAACAUCAAUUUCUUUUGCUGUAAAAAAGCUUGAGGAAGGUGGCUUGAGAUUCGUCUUAAGUGUUUAUAGCCUCUUGCCUAUGCAGUCGGAGAGAUUGAGGUCUGCAGCGUAGAUCCUUCGGGGCUAAAUGCAUUUGUGCUAAGUUAUAAGCAUUUUAUAGACAACUUGUUGACUAUGAUUUGUCUUGUAGCUUACUCGCUUAUGUUAUUUUACCUACGCUUAGGAUGUUGAACGCGCACAGAGUCUC